rnacentral:lncRNA from 1 species
CGCCGCCGUCAAAGCGCGCAGUCACACCGCGCUCCAACGGCCAGUCGCGGGUUAACAGCUAGUCGGCAGCCGGCCGCAGGAGUGUGCAGUACAGCAGCGUCUUCUCCAGUCGCCGGGCACCGGGCACCCAGACGGCGCUAUUGAGAAAUACCACGUCGUUCGACCAGUACUCCACAUCACGAAGCAGCUUGUCCAAGGCGAGUGUAAUAAGAGUCUUCAAGGACACGUGACUUCCCUG